CACGUAGUUGGCCGGUGCUUAUUCUACAGGUACCGUCACUUGCGCUUCUUCCCUGUCAAAAGAGGUUUACAACCCGAAGGCCGUCAUCCCUCACGCGGCGUCGCUGCAUCAGGCUUUCGCCCAUUGUGCAAUAUUCCCCACUGCUGCCUCCCGUAGGAGUCUGGGCCGUGUCUCAGUCCCAGUGUGGCCGGUCACCCUCUCAGGUCGGCUACCCGUCGUCGCCUUGGUAGGCCAUUACCCCACCAACAAGCUGAUAGGCCGCGGGCCCAUCUCGCACCAGUAAACCUUUCCACCAAAGACCAUGCAGUCCCUGGUCGUAUCCGGUAUUAGACCCAGUUUCCCAGGCUUAUCCCAGAGUGCGAGGCAGAUCACCCAGUGUUACUCACCCGUUCGCCGCUCGUGUACCCCGAAGGGCCUUACCGCUCGACUUGCAUGUGUUAAGCACGCCGCUAGCGUUCGUCCUGAGCCGAGGAUCAAACUCUA
rnacentral:rRNA from 1 species